rnacentral:rRNA from 1 species
UGCCACAGCUAGAUCAUCCUGCAGCCCAAGACCAGUUACUCUCAGAAGCUAAGCAGGACUAUGCCUGGUCAGUACCUGGAUGGGAGACCACAUAAGAAAGCCAGGUUGCUGCUGGUGU